rnacentral:rRNA from 1 species
AUGUUGCUCUUUGUGACGCUUGCAUCAACAUCUCCAUGGAUUCAACGAUUGGAACGGAUCAAGCCAAGACUAUGUUUUGGGACAGAAUUACGGAUCACUACAACAACUCUGUGGACGUGCAAUCAAGUUGUACGUAAGGUUCUCUUGGGCCUCGUUGAAGCACCAUUCAUGACCAAUGCAACCGAUGGUCCAGUUGCAUCAACCAAGUGA